ACGGGAGGCAGCAGUGGGGAAUAUUGGGCCAUGGGCGCAAGCCUGACCCAGCAACGCCGCGUGAAGGAAGAAGGUCUUCGGAUUGUAAACUUCUUUUAUGAGGGACGAAGGACGUGACGGUACCUCAUGAAUAAGCCACGGCUAACUACGUGCCAGCAGCCGCGGUAAUACGUAGGUGGCAAGCGUUAUCCGGAUUUACUGGGUGUAAAGGGCGCGUAGGCGGGAAGGCAAGUCAGGUGUGAAAUCUAUGGGCUUAACCCAUAAACUGCACUUGAAACCGUCUUUCUUGAGUGCUGGAGAGGUAGACGGAAUUCCUUGUGUAGCGGUGAAAUGCGUAGAUAUAAGGAAGAACACCAGUGGCGAAGGCGGUCUACUGGACAGUAACUGACGCUGAGGCGCGAAAGCGUUGGGAGCAGACAGGAUUAGAUACCCUGGUA
rnacentral:rRNA from 1 species